ACACUCCUACGGGAGGCAGCAGUGGGGAAUUUUGGACAAUGGGGGCAACCCUGAUCCAGCAAUGCCGCGUGAGUGAAGAAGGCCUUCGGGUUGUAAAGCUCUUUUGUCAGGGAAGAAACGGUGGUGGCGAAUAACUACUACUAAUGACGGUACCUGAAGAAUAAGCACCGGCUAACUACGUGCCAGCAGCCGCGGUAAUACGUAGGGUGCAAGCGUUAAUCGGAAUUACUGGGCGUAAAGCGUGCGCAGGCGGUUGUGUAAGUCAGAUGUGAAAUCCCCGGGCUCAACCUGGGAAUUGCAUUUGAGACUGCACGGCUAGAGUGUGUCAGAGGGGGGUAGAAUUCCACGUGUAGCAGUGAAAUGCGUAGAUAUGUGGAGGAAUACCGAUGGCGAAGGCAGCCCCCUGGGAUAACACUGACGCUCAUGCACGAAAGCGUGGGGAGCAAACAGGAUUAGAUACCCUGUAGUCCCA
rnacentral:rRNA from 1 species